rnacentral:tRNA from 1 species
AGGGAUUUAGCUCAGUGGUGUAAGCACCUGCCUGGCAAGCACGAGGUCAUGAAUUUAAUCCUUG